GUCGCCCUUUUGAAGCUCGCCUUUAUUUACGCGCGCCUUUAUUCGCCGCACCCAAUUGAGGUCGCCCUUUUGAAGCUCGCCUUUAUUUACGCGCGCCUUUAUUCGCUGCGCCCAAUUGAGGUCGCCCUUUUGAAGCUCGCCUUUAUUUACGCGCGCCUUUAUUCGCCGCGCCCAAUUGAGGUCGCCCUUUUGAAGCUCGCCUUUAUUUACGCGCGCCUUUAUUCGCCGCGCCCAAUUGAGGUCGCCCUUUUGAAGCUCGCCUUUAUUUACGCGCGUCUUUAUUCGCCGCGCCCAAUUGAGGUCGCCCUUUUGAAGCUCG